CAACGAGGACCAGGUGUGUGCAGGUGGAGGCAGACACACCCAUGCUUCAUACACACAGAGGGCACAGAAGGAGAAAGACAACAAUACAUGUGCUAAGGAGAAAACACUUGAUGGUGUGAUGCUGCAGAUCGCCGCCUGUGACCGCUCCGCCAUGGACUGCAGCUUUCGGAGGACGCAUUUGUAGACCGAUUACGUCACAGCGGCUGUGACGGGGAUGUCCCAUUUCGGCGACUCCUUCAAAUGCGGCCUUCUUUUCCCGGAUUUGGAGGAUACAUCUGAUGGAUCCUUCACGGCCUUAGGUAUCCCCCUCAGCUGCAGCUUGAACUGAUGAUCACAGAGAGAUGAAGAGGAAAAGAAAACAUAAGGAACUGCCUUCACCGUAAUGAAAGAAAUACAAUUUAAAAGCUAUAAACUGCCUUGUUUUCUGUUUUCUGUUUACUCCGCGUAGUUUUCCCGGAGACAUAAAAUGUAAUAAAAAA